rnacentral:lncRNA from 1 species
UCACAGGUCAGCUGUGGGUUAUAAUUGAGUUAGGUAAUGUCCUUGUGGCUUUGAAACAGCAGAUCAUCAAGGAAAAUGUUAACAACUGCAACACAAUGCACUAAGAUCAGUCAUAAGUAACCAUAGUUUCAACUACUUUGUGUAGUGUUUCAUCUCUAAAGGUGAUAUUAAUUGUUAGUUUAAAUGUAGCUGUGUAAGUGUAUCGAAAUACAUAUAUAUUUAUAGAAAUAAGUUUUGUGGAUGAAUAGAUGCCGUUACACAUGCAGUUGCCUCAGUUGGUGCAAGUUUAAUCAACAUACAGUCAAGCUUUAGUUAUUCAGAAUGAAGAUGGAAGAAUCUAUUACAGGCGAAGCUGUGCAUACCCAGCUGCGAUGGAAACAGAAGUUAAAUCAUUACAACAAAGAAAAGAGUGGCUGUAGCUCCUACCUCAAGGCAUAGUGCGGUCUGGAAUUUGUCGGUUGGAGUCAGAGCUGCAUCACACCAGGGGAAUGGACUGCAGGAACUUCAUACAUUCACAGUAAAAAAAAAAAAAAAAAAAUCAGUAAGAGGGGAAAUACCUGUUCUGUUCAGAGUUCCUGCGUUAUAAGACUCUCAGGGAUUCUGUGAG